AAUAACAAUAUAAUAAUAAAAUAUUAUUAUAAAGUCAACUUUAUUUAAUAAAGUUUCUCCUAGAAGUUUUAAGGAGGUUAAAUAAGACCUUUCUAGAAGAUCCAUCUGAACCUUUAAAAAGAGACUAGAGAAAGUCAUUUGGACAUCUUAUAUUUGAUAUUUCUUUCAGAGAAUUUUGGAGGGCUUGUUCUCUAGGAUCAGUGUGCACCAGGACAAAAACCCUUGGGUCUUUUGGUUGGUUGGACAGAAACCCAACCCUUGGUGAAUUCAUAUCAGGAUUCACAGUUGCACUUCAAUGGUCAGAUUGUGAAGAUUUUAGAAAUUUGGGGAAGUCUUUCUAAAAAGGCAAAUAGUGGGUUUCAGGCAGAUAAGAGAACUAAAUAUUAUUCUUGCAUAUUUGGAGGAAAAGGCACAAAGGGUUGCAAGCUACAGGAUGGCUACAGUACCCGCCACCAUUGUUAUCUUGUCGCAGACAUUGAGAAAGGAGUGCAAUCUGCGAACCUGAAGUGAAGGCAUCUGGAUGUUUACAGGGGAGUUGCAGUCAUUUCUUGAAGGCUUCAUAGGCCAAACCUUAGCCACUCCAUUAUGGGUUAAUACUGCUAAUAAGAGAAUUCCAGUUGAUGGUGCAAACAGAUUUAGAAGAGUCAUUGGUUAUGUUCAGAAAUCUGUUUAAAGGUGCAAAAAUCAGGGGAGAUUACCUUCAGUUCUGCCCUAGUUUGUAAAAGACCUGCAGAUUUAGAGACACCUGUACUCAGAUUUAUGUUCAAAGUCAUUCUCAGACUUCUGUAUUGUAUGGCAGCCUUUCAUGACAAUAAACAAGGUCAGAUUUGGAUUGUUUAAAUAACUUUCUUUUCAGAAUUAUAGUUGCAGAUUUCAUUAUCAGAAUUUUACCUUAUCUUUAAUUAAUGAAUGUAUGUCAUUUAUACCAAAAUUGUAAAAGAAAACCUCUUAACCUAAGGAAGCAUGCAAAGUGUAUAGUUUAAUUCUGCGUCAUAUUUUGAUUGUUUGGUAUUUGACAUAUAAAAGAUCAGUCUGUCGGGAUUAUGGAAUUUGGAUUUUGUUCUGUAUAUCCGAGAUUGG